GACGAACGCUGGCGGCGUGCUUAACACAUGCAAGUCGAACGGAAAGGCCCUGCUUGCAGGGUACUCGAGUGGCGAACGGGUGAGUAACACGUGGGUGAUCUGCCCUGCACUUCGGGAUAAGCCUGGGAAACUGGGUCUAAUACCGGAUAGGAGCCAUUUUUAGUGUGAUGGUUGGAAAGUUUUUUCGGUGUAGGAUGAGCUCGCGGCCUAUCAGCUUGUUGGUGGGGUAAUGGCCUACCAAGGCGGCGACGGGUAGCCGGGCUGAGAGGGUGGACGGGCACAUUGGGACUGAGAUACGGCCCAGACUCCUACGGGAGGCAGCAGUGGGGAAUAUUGCACAAUGGGCGCAAGCCUGAUGCAGCGACGCCGCGUGGGGGGUGACGGCCUUCGGGUUGUAAACUCCUUUCGCUAGGGACGAAGCUUUUUGUGACGGUACCUAGAUAAGAAGCACCGGCUAACUACGUG
rnacentral:rRNA from 1 species